CUGAAACCGAUGUUGUGUUUUUACUUGAAAGUAUUAAUGGCAAAUCUGAAAGUCCAGACCAUAUGGUAUCUCAGUAUCAGCAAGCUUUGGAAGAAAUAGAAAGGCUGAAAAAACAAUGUAGUGCUUUGCAACAUGUAAAGGCUGAAAGCAGCCAGUGUUCCAAUAAUGAGAGUAAAAGUGAAAUGGAUGAGAUGGCUGUGCAGCUUGAUGAUGUGUUUAGACAACUGGACAAAUGCAGUAUUGAGAGGGACCAGUAUAAAAGUGAGGUUGAAUUGCUGGAAAUGGAAAAGUCACAAAUCCGUUCACAGUGUGAAGAACUCAAAACUGAAGUUGAACAGUUAAAAUCAAAUCAACAGACGGCAACAGAUGUUUCAACAUCAAGUAACAUUGAGGAGUCUGUAAAUUAUAUGGAUGGAGAAAGACUCAACAGGUUGGAUGAUGCCCCAGAUACAGCCCAGGUUGGUGAGGGCGGAUCUUCUGUACUCAGUCUACUGAUUCAAAUGCUAAAGUCUUCCAGAAACACCCUCAUAGUCAGAAAUAAUGUUGACCACCUAUCGGUAAAAGCAGCACAUCCAGAGGUACUUGUUUCCUGGCCUUCUGCGAAGCCCACAGAUAAAUUAGGUCUCAUUUGGAAACGUCCCAUUUCGAAAAGCCUGUGCAUUUUGCAGCUUUCUUCUGUCUUGAAGAAGUAGAACGGUGCCCGAGAAACGUUUUGCCCCUUCGAGACUCAGGAGGAUGAAAGUCAUC
rnacentral:sRNA from 1 species